GAAGAACGCAGCGAAAUGCGAUACCUAGUGUGAAUUGCAGAAUUCCGCGAAUCAUCGAGUUUUUGAACGCAAGUUGCGCCCGAGGCUUGUCCAAGGGCAUUUCCGCUAGAGCGUCACC
rnacentral:rRNA from 1 species